rnacentral:sRNA from 1 species
GCGGCGAGAGCGGGUCGCC